CGCCUUGCCAGCCGCUCAGAAACUUAAGGAAAUUGACGGGGCCCGCACAAGCGGAGGAGCAUGUGGUUAAUUCGAUGAUACGCGAGGAACUUACCUGGGCUCGAACGUAAGAUGACUGUAGGUGAAAGCUUACAUCUCUUCGGAGCAUUUUACGAGGUGCUGCAUGGUUGUCGUCAGCUCGUGCCGUGAGGUGUCGGGUUAAGUCCCAUAACGAGCGCAACCCCUACCUUUAGUUGCCAUCAGGUUAAGCUGGGGACUCUAAAGGAACUGCCUACGCAAGUAGUGAGGAAGGCGGGGAUGACGUCAAAUCAGCACGGCCCUUACGUCCAGGGCUACACACGUGCUACAAUGGCCGAUACAGAGGGCAGCUACCUGGUGACAGGAUGCAAAUCUCCAAAGUCGGUCUCAGUUCGGAUCGGAGUCUGCAACCCGACUCCGUGAAGUUGGAUUCGCUAGUAAUCGCGCAUCAGCCAUGGCGCGGUGAAUACGUUCCCGGGCCUU
rnacentral:rRNA from 1 species